rnacentral:rRNA from 1 species
GUGAGUAACGCGUGGGUAACCUGCCUUAUACAGGGGGAUAACAGUCAGAAAUGGCUGCUAAUACCGCAUAAGCGCACAGAGCUGCAUGGCUCAGUGUGAAAAACUCCGGUGGUAUAAGAUGGACCCGCGUUGGAUUAGCUUGUUGGCGGGGUAACGGCCCACCAAGGCGACGAUCCAUAGCCGGCCUGAGAGGGUGAACGGCCACAUUGGGACUGAGACACGGCCCAGACUCCUACGGGAGGCAGCAUG